UCUCGAUACCGUAAAAGUUAACUAAGAUUUGUAUGGAGUUGGAACAUUUGCCUGCGUUUGCCGCUAGGGGCGCUGUUCCAACUGCAUACAAAUCUUAGUUAACUUUUACGCUAUCGA
rnacentral:pre_miRNA from 9 species